rnacentral:misc_RNA from 1 species
GGAAGUAAAAGUCGUAACAAGAUUUCCGCAGGUGAACCUGCGGAAGGAUCAUUCAUAAUGAGUGUUUAUGGCACUUUUAAAAAUCCAUACCCACCUUGUGUGCAUCGUUAGUCAUGUUCCUUGUUCUCUCUUGAGAGGACAAGGAGGCAGGCUUCAAAUUAAUCUAUCUUUAACCAGUUUGUCUGAAGCAAUGUAUCAUGAGUUAACAUAAUUCUAAAAUACAACUUUCAACAACGGAUCUCUUGGCUCUC